rnacentral:rRNA from 1 species
UACGUAGGGUGCGAGCGUUAAUCGGAAUUACUGGGCGUAAAGCGUGCGCAGGCGGUUUUGUAAGACAGGUGUGAAAUCCCCGGGCUCAACCUGGGAAUUGCAUUUGUGACUGCACGGCUAGAGUGUGUCAGAGGGGGGUAGAAUUCCACGUGUAGCAGUGAAAUGCGUAGAGAUGUGGAGGAAUACCGAUGGCGAAGGCAGCCCCCUGGGAUAACACUGACGCUCAUGCACGAAAGCGUGGGGAGCAAACAGG